UACGUAUGGGGCAAGCGUUAUCCGGAUUUACUGGGUGUAAAGGGAGCGCAGGCGGCUUUGCAAGUCUGAUGUGAAAGGCCGGGGCUCAACCCCGGGACUGCAUUGGAAACUGUAAAGCUAGAGUGCCGGAGAGGUAAGCGGAAUUCCUAGUGUAGCGGUGAAAUGCGUAGAUAUUAGGAGGAACACCAGUGGCGAAGGCGGCUUACUGGACGGCAACUGACGCUGAGGCUCGAAAGCGUGGGGAGCAAACAGG
rnacentral:rRNA from 1 species